AGAUAAGGCAUGCUCAUCAUCAUGGUAGUAUGAUAGCAAGUUUACCAUAUACAAGCUAGCAAAAAAUUUCUACAUUUUAAGGCCCGCAAGCUAGCAAUUUUGAGAUGUUCAAGAAAGCAACUCUUGCUUCUUGAAAUAUAAGUUUUGCUAGAUGUGCAAGUUAACUUUUUGCUUCUUGAGAUAGGAAAGAUAGCAUUCCUUGGUGAUGUUCAAUAUAGCUAAGUUCUACAUCAUGCAAGCUAGUGAAUUUUAUAACAUUUUAGAACAUGCAUAAUCACCAAAGCAUCAUAAAUUUUAAUGAUGUGCAAAAUU
rnacentral:lncRNA from 1 species